AGACGUUAUCGGAUACUGGGCGUAAGCGUGUGUAGGCGGUUCGGAAAGAAAGAUGUGAAAUCCCAGGGCUCAACCUUGGAACUGCAUUUUUAACUGCCGAGCUAGAGUAUGUCAGAGGGGGGUAGAAUUCCACGUGUAGCAGUGAAAUGCGUAGAUAUGUGGAGGAAUACCGAUGGCGAAGGCAGCCCCCUGGGAUAAUACUGACGCUCAGACACGAAAGCGUGGGGAGCAAACAGGAUUAGAUACCCUGGUAGUCCACGCCCUAAACGAUGUCAACUAGCUGUUGGGGCCGUUAGGCCUUAGUAGCGCAGCUAACGCGUGAAGUUGACCGCCUGGGGAGUACGGUCGCAAGAUUAAAACUCAAAUGAAUUGACGG
rnacentral:rRNA from 1 species